CUAGUAAAGAUUACUGCGGAGUCACCAUGACAUUUCCUAGUGACACCAUUCCUAAAUGGAAAGAUCUCAAAACCAAUGAGCUUGAAGGUUUAUCGUAUGAGUUUAAUCUGUGUGAAGCUUUGGCUACUUGGGAACAGUGAGUUGAUUGCUCAGGUGCGGAAUAGUACCACCAUUCUCACUUGGGAGUUCAUUGAUUCUUUACCA